ensembl:lncRNA
AUGCGGCGUGGCAUGGAGUCGAUCAGUCUGUGGCACUGUUCAGAUGUUAUGAGAGCCCAGGUUGCUCUAAUAGUGGCCUUCAGCUCUUCUGCAUUGUUGGGUCUGGCAUAUCACAUCUUCCUCUUCCGAAUACCCCAUAGAUUUUCUAUGGGGUUAAGGUCAGGCGAGUUUGCUGGCCAAUUAAGAACAGUUGGUCAGCAGCAGGAAGCAUGAAGUGCUCUAAAACUUCCUGGUAUACGGCUGUGUUGACCUUGGACCUCAGAAAACACAGUGGACCAACAUCUGCAGAUGACAUGGCACCGAAAACCAUCACUGACUGUGGAAACUUUACACUGGACCUCAAGAAAUGUGGAUUGUGUGCCUCUCCUCUCUUUCUCCAGACUCUGGGACCCUGAUAUCCAAAGGAAAUGCUAAAUUUACUUUCAUCAGAGCACAUAACUUUGGAUUACUCAGCAGCAGUCCAGUCCUUUUUGAAGCAAGAUGCUUCUGACACUGUCUGUUGUUCAAGAGUGGCUUGACACAAGGAAUGCAACAGCUGAAACCCAUGUCUUGCAUACGUCUUUGUGUAGUGGUUCUUGAAGCACUGACUCCAGCUGCAGUCCACUCUUUGUGAAUCUCCCCCACAUUUUUGAAUGGGUUUUGUUUCACAAUCCUCUCCAGGGUGUGGUUAUCCCUAUUGCUUGUACACUUUUUUCUACCACAUCUUUUCCUUCCCUUUGCCUCUCUGUUAAUGUGCUUGGACACAGAGCUCUGUGAACAGCCAGCCUCUUUUGCAAUGACCUUUUGUGUCUUGCCCUCCUUUUGCAAGGUGUCAAUGGUCGUCUUUUGGACAACUGUCAAUUCAAAAGGUCUUCCCCAUGACUGUGUACAGAACUAGACUGAGAGACCAUUUAAAGGCUUUGCACGUGUUUUGAGUUAAUUAACUGAUUAGAGUGUGGCACAUUCAAUAUCGAACCUUUUCACAAUAUUCUAAUUUUCUGAGAUACUGAAUUUGGGAUUUUCCUUAGUUGUCAGUUAUAAACAUCGAAAUUAAAAGAAAUAAACAUUUGAAAUAUAUCAGUCUGUGUGUAAUGAAUAAAUAUAAUAUACAAGUUCACUUUUUGAAUGGAAUUAUUGAAAUAAAUCAACUU